CCUACGGGAGGCUGCAGUGGGGAAUAUUGCACAAUGGGGGAAACCCUGAUGCAGCGACGCCGCGUGAGUGAAGAAGUAAUUCGUUAUGUAAAGCUCUAUCAGCAGGGAAGAAAAUGACGGUACCUGAGUAAGAAGCCCCGGCUAACUACGUGCCAGCAGCCGCGGUAAUACGUAGGGGGCAAGCGUUAUCCGGAUUUACUGGGUGGAAAGGGAGCGUAGACGGCAGUGCAAGUCUGGAGUGAAAGGCGGGGGCUCAACCCCCGGACUGCUCUGGAAACUGUACGGCUGGAGUGCAGGAGAGGUAAGUGGAAUGCCUAGUGUAGCGGUGAAAUGCGUAGAUAUUAGGAGGAACACCAGUGGCGAAGGCGGCUUACUGGACUGUAACUGACGUUGAGGCUCGAAAGCGUGGGGAGCAAACAGGAUUAGAUACCCGUGUAGUC
rnacentral:rRNA from 1 species